CCUUGUGGCCGACUUUCAUGAAGCUUAGAGAGGAAGAGAGAAACUCCAUUUUCCUUGCUUUCUAACCCUAGUAAAUCAAGAGCAAAAAUCAAAAGAGAAAGAUCUUGAGUGGGUUGAGAAACUUUCCUUUCAUUCCUAGUGGUUGAUCCAAGCUUGAAGCUUCCAUCUUGGUGGAUAGUUUGGUGACCUAAGCAACUUGUAAGAGAGGUUUGGGAAAUGAAGGUGAUCGUAACUGAGACGUUUGACGUUGAUUACUACUUUUGCUUGACAGAUCGGGGAUGGAUUGAUCAAGAGCUUUCUUAGCUUUAUUUUGUUUUGAACUUGUAUUUUGAGAUUGUAACCUUUUGUUUAAGGAGACCUUACUUUUGACUUCCGUAAGCUUGAAUCUAUAAGUUCGACUUAUGUUAUGUAAGUUUAUGUGUGGAGUGAUAAGUUGACAUUUAAUUAUAUGUAUGCUAAACUUUUAGAUUGUUGGUGUAGUGUUUAUGUUUAAUUGGGGUUACACUCCCGUGAA